CAACAAUGAUGUAGUCAUAUGCCUCAUGCUGUAUUCUGGAGAAACUGCUUGCCUUCAGUAGGGGAGGGAGAUCCAAUGUGGUAAAAUGAUUUCUUCCUGCAAAUACAAGUAUUCAUGUUUUAUCUGAAGCUACCCAGUUUCAGGUUUCUUCUGAAUAUUCACUACAGGCCGAGAUUAUAAGACAACAAUCAGGAGAAGCUGUGGUCGAAAUACAUCCACAGCACGGCACAGGACAGCCCAGAGGGUGCAAAUAUUACCUGUAUCUGUCUGCAUUGCAGCUUGCAAUAAUGUUUAAGUGAGAUGUUCAGGAUGCAAUUUGUGAUUCGUCAGAAAACUGAUUUCCCCAUUGUCCUCUCAGCUAGGUUGUCCAUCACUGAAUGAAGCAACUCAGUUAGGAGGUGGUGACUCCGAUCCCCCCCCUCCCCCAAUGAAAUGGACCGUCUACUCAGAGCUGAUGGCUGCAUCCUAACCUCCUUCACAAAUGCACGAGUUAGGGGGGGAGGCUUGAUCGAUGUUGAUGUCAGUGAGCUCUAGGGAGCUAGCACCUAGCAGACAGCCUGAGAAGACACUAAUCAUGAAGUACUCACUCGAUGUGGUUGAGCAGGGCCGGCGUUCAUUGAUGGUAACAGCCUCUCCCAGCAAGCCAUUUAAGCCACACAGUGGAAUUUGAGAUAGCAUUGGUGGUUAUGUGGCCAGGGACCUGAUCAUCCAAGAUUCCAGAACAGUGGUGGAUGCUUCUGCAGCUCUGUGUACUACCAGUUCUCAUGGAGGCUUUUGUGAAUCAGAGCUGGGUCCAAGAACUGAUGAAUUUUACUCCAGCAACUACCCAGUGUGCCCUCAUUGACUGUCUUGUUUUCUUCAGACGUACUGUCUGUGGCUAUGGAAGGACCACUGUGUUCAUUCAUUCAAUCUUUCUGUGAAUGGAAGAAAGAGGAGAGUACGUUUUUGUCCGCUGUACAACUGCCCAGCUACAGCAAGACAGCCUACGAUGUGCAGUGAGCCAGCGACGAGCGUACCUUCAAAGGGACAUCUGGUCGUAGCCGUUGGUACUGGAUCUGGUGUACUUGGUAUUAUAUUGGAUGCGACAAGGUUGUCAUGCUGUGUGAUGAUAUUUGGCAGCUACAAAACAUUGCAAUAUCCUGCAGGGAACGCCAGCACCUCUGCACCUGCCUAUCAUGAAUCAGAAUCAUUAAUUCAAACAAGAUCGAUAUGAUUCUUUCCUAGAAUGAUCAUGAAUACUGUGCUAUUGACAACUGAGAGUCUGGUACUGAUGCUUUUGUACUAAUCACUAUUAUAAGUAUUAGUUCCCAUUUUCCAGGGAGUGCUCAAUAUUAACACCAACUUUUGGUAUCUACUUGAUAGGAAGUAGUAGCAUAGAGCAUCCUCAGAAAAAGAGAGGUUUCUAUAAACUUUUUUUUCCUUUUAACUUGAAAUUUCAAAAAGAGAAGGCUGGGAAGCCUUUUAUGUUGUCUUCU